UUCAGAGUUCUACAGUCCCAAUCAAGAGCUAACAAGUGACUAUGGGAGGGGAGUUGAAAAAGUAUAAAAGUUGCUGUUUGUUUUUAUUGGGCUUG